rnacentral:rRNA from 1 species
UACGGAGGAUCCAAGCGUUAUCCGGAUUUAUUGGGCUUAAAGGGUGCGUAGGCGGCUUAUUAAGUCAGGGGUGAAAGACGGUGGCUCAACCAUCGCAGUGCCCUUGAUACUGAUGAGCUUGAAUACACUUGAGGUAGGCGGAAUGUGACAAGUAGCGGUGAAAUGCAUAGUUAUGUCGCAGAACACCAAUUGCGAAGGCAGCUUACUAAGGUGCAAUUGACGCUGAGGCACGAAAGCGUGGGGAGCAAACAGG